GGGACGACUGUUUCCGAUGUCAGUAUCACAUUGUGUGGAAAGACAAACAGGACUUUGUUUACAUGAGCUGGCGCCCCCCUUUUAGAAAAAACCAAGGAUCCCCUGAGAAAAGUUUCUGUUCUACCGCUCCCUCGGGUCUGUGUCACAAGUCCAGGUUAGGGGUUCAGGUCUGUGUCACAAGUCCAGGUCAGGGGUUCAGGUCUGUGUCACAGGUCCAGGUUAGUGGUUCAGGUCCAGGUCAGCGGUUCAGGUCUGUGUCACAAGUCCAGGUCAGCGGUUCAGGUCUGUGUCACAGGUCCAGGUUAGGGGUUCAGGUCUAGGUUAGGGGUUCAGGUUUAGGUUAGGGGUUCAGGUCUGUGUCACAGGUCCAGGUUAGUGGUUCAGGUCUAGGUUAGGGGUUCAGGUCUAGGUUAGGGGUUCAGGUCUGUGUCACAGGUCCAGGUUAGUGGUUCAGGUCUAGGUUAGGGGUUCAGGUCUGUGUCACAGGUCUAGGUUAGGGGUUCAGGUCUGUGUCACAGGUCUAGGUUAGUGGUUCAGGUCUAGGUUAGGGGUUCAGGUCUAGGUUAGGGGUUCAGGUCUAGGUUAGGGGUUCAGGUCUAGGUUAGGGGUUCAGGUCUGUGUCACAGGUCUAGGUUAGGGGUUCAGGUCUAGGUUAGGGGUUCAGGUCUGUGUCACAGGUCUAGGUUAGGGGUUCAGGUCUGUGUCACAGGUCUAGGUUAGGGGUUCAGGUCUGUGUCACAGGUCUAGGUUAGGGGUUCAGGUCUAGGUUAGGGGUUCAGGUCUGUGUCACAUGAAACUACAAACAUCUUAAACUACAAACAAUUAUUAUUAAAAACAAACAUUGCACCAGAUCCCGUUUAUGCAUCUCAUUAAAAACAGUCGACGGUACUCACUAGUGGACGAGGCGUGCGGCGGCGGCCUGUGGCGGCGUGAGUACGGAGGCUGCAUAGAGUAAUCGUGUUUGUUUGACUCGUGUGAGGCACGGCGUGGUGUCGGGCAG